rnacentral:rRNA from 1 species
UACGUAGGGGGCAAGCGUUGUCCGGAAUCAUUGGGCGUAAAGCGCGUGUAGGCGGCUCAGUAAGUCCGCUCUGAAAAGCCCGGGGCUUAACCCCCGGGAGGCGGGUGGAUACUGCUGAGCUCGAGUCCGGAAGAGGCGAGUGGAAAUUCCCGGUGUAGCGGUGAAAAUGCGCAGAUAUCGGGAGGAACACCCCGUGGCGAAGGCGGCUCUCUGGGACGGUACUGACGCUGAGACGCGAAAAGCAUGGGGGAGCGAACAGG